rnacentral:rRNA from 1 species
UACAGAGGGUGCGAGCGUUGUCCGGAAUCACUGGGCGUAAAGGGCGCGUAGGUGGCCUGGUAAGUAGGGGGUGAAAUCUCGCGGCUCAACUGCGAGGCUGCCUCCUAAACUGUCAGGCUCGAGCAGAGUAGAGGCAGGUGGAAUUCCCGGUGUAGCGGUGGAAUGCGUAGAGAUCGGGAAGAACAUCGGUGGCGAAGGCGGCCUGCUGGGCUCUUGCUGACACUGAGGCGCGACAGCGUGGGGGAGCAAACAGGG